CAAGAACACACGAUGGAGAAGCGACAGUCUCUUCAGUGGCGGUGCUGGGAAACGGGACAGCUGCCUGGACAUCAGUGAUGUGAGA